rnacentral:rRNA from 1 species
UACCAGCUCUCCGAGUGGUAGGGAUGUUUAUUGGGCUUAAAGCGUCCGUAGCCGGCUUAGCAAGUCUCCUGUUAAAUUCAGCGACCUAAUCGUUGAGCCGCGGGAGAUACUACUAGGCUAGGAGGCGGGAGAGGUCAACGGUACUUCCGGGGUAGGGGUGAAAUCCUAUAAUCCCGGGAGGACCACCAGUGGCGAAGGCUGUUGACUAGAACGCGCUCGACGGUGAGGGACGGAAGCUGGGGGAGCGAACCGGAUUAGAUACCCGGGUAGUCCCAGCUGUAAACGAUGCGAGCUAGGUGUUGGGGUGGCUACGUGCCACUUCAGUGCCGCAGGGAAGCCAUUAAGCUCGCCGCCUGGGGAGUACGGCCGCAAGGCUGAAACUUAAAGGAAUUGGCGGGGGAGCACCACAAGGCGUGAAGCUUGCGGUUC